CCCCAGACUCCUACGGGAGGCAGCAGUGGGGAAUAUUGCACAAUGGGGGAAACCCUGAUGCAGCGACGCCGCGUGAGUGAAGAAGUAUUUCGGUAUGUAAAGCUCUAUCAGCAGGGAAGAAAAUGACGGUACCUGACUAAGAAGCCCCGGCUAACUACGUGCCGGCAGCCGCGGUAAUACGUAGGGGGCAAGCGUUAUCCGGAUUUACUGGGUGUAAAGGGAGCGUAGACGGCUGUGCAAGCCAGAUGUGAAAGCCCGGGGCUCAACCCCGGGACUGCAUUUGGAACUGCGUGGCUGGAGUGCAGGAGGGGCAGGCGGAAUUCCUGGUGUAGCGGUGAAAUGCGUAGAUAUCAGGAGGAACACCGGUGGCGAAGGCGGCCUGCUGGACUGCAACUGACGUUGAGGCCCGAAAGCGUGGGGAGCAAACAGGAUUAGAUACCCUGGUA
rnacentral:rRNA from 1 species